rnacentral:rRNA from 1 species
AGAGUUUGAUCCUGGCUCAGGAUGAACGCUGGCGGCGUGCCUAAUACAUGCAAGUCGAGCGAGAAUGAAGCGAAUUGAGAUUCGUCGAUAUGAACUUCAGGAAAGCGGCGGACGGGUGAGUAACGCGUAGGCAACCUGCCCUUAGCAGAGGGAUAGCCAUUGGAAACGAUGAUUAAAACCUCAUAAUGCAUUUUCAUCACAUGACGGAGAUGCCAAAGAUUUAUCGGCUAAGGAUGGGCCUGCGUCUGAUUAACUAGUUGGUGAGGUAACGGCUCACCAAGGUGACGAUCAGUAGCCGACCUGAGAGGGUGAUCGGCCACAUUGGAACUGAGACACGGUCCAAACUUCUACGGAAGGCAGCAGUAAGGAAUCUUGCACAAUGGGGGAAACCCUGAUGCAGCAACGCCGCGUGAACGAUGAAGGCCUUCGGGUUGUAAAGUUCUGAUCUUAGGGAAGAAGAAGUGACGGUACCUAAGGAGAAAGCCCCGGCUAACUACGUGCCAGCAGCCGCGGUAAUACGUAGGGGGCAAGCGUUAUCCGGAAUUAUUGGGCGUAAAGAGUGCGUAGGUGGUUACCUAAGCGUAAGGUUUAAUCGAGAGGCUCAACCUCUUCUCGCCUUGCGAACUGGGCUACUUGAGUGCAGGAGGGGAAAGCGGAAUUCCUAGUGUAGCGGUGAAAUGCGUAGAUAUUAGGAAGAACACCGGUGGCGAAGGCGGCUUUCUGGACUGUAACUGACACUGAGGCACGAAAGCGUGGGGGAGCAAACAGGAUUAGAUACCCUGGUAGUCCACGCCGUAAACGAUGAGCACUAGUUGUUGGGUCCGAAUGGAUUCAGUGACGCAGUUAACGCAAUAAGUGCUCCGCCUGGGGAGUACGGUGGCAACACUAAAACUCAAAGGAAUUGACGGGGACCCGCACAAGCAGCGGAGCAUGUGGUUUAAUUCGAAGCAACGCGAAAAACCUUACCAGGGCUUGACAUCCCUCUGACCGGUCCUUAACCGGACCUUUCUUCGGACAGAGGAGACAGGUGGUGCAUGGUUGUCGUCAGCUCGUGUCGUGAGAUGUUGGGUUAAGUCCCGCAACGAGCGCAACCCUUGUCGUCAGUUACUAACAUUAAGUUGAGGACUCUGACGAGACUGCCGAGGUCAACUCGGAGGAAGGUGGGGAUGACGUCAAAUCAUCAUGCCCCUUAUGUUCUGGGCUACACACGUGCUACAAUGGUCGGUACAAUGAGAAGCAAGAUGGCGACAUGGAGCAAAUCACCAAAACCGAUCCCAGUUCGGAUUGCAGGCUGCAACUCGCCUGCAUGAAGUCGGAGUUGCUAGUAAUCGCGGAUCAGCAUGCCGCGGUGAAUGCGUUCCCGGGUCUUGUACACACCGCCCGUCACACCAUGGAAGUUGGGGGCGCCCAAAGUUGGACGAUCAAUAGUUUACCUAAGGCGAAACCAAUGACUGGGGUGAAGUCGUAACAAGGUAGCCGUUCGAGAACGAGCGGCUGGAUCACCUCCUUUCU